rnacentral:rRNA from 1 species
CCUACGGGUGGCAGCAGUGAGGAAUAUUGGUCAAUGGACGGAAGUCUGAACCAGCCAUGCCGCGUGCAGGAUGACGGCUCUAUGAGUUGUAAACUGCUUUUGUACCGGGGUAAAAUGCCUUACGUGUAGGGUUUUGAAAGUACGGUACGAAUAAGGAUCGGCUAACUCCGUGCCAGCAGCCGCGGUAAUACGGAGGAUCCGAGCGUUAUCCGGAUUGAUUGGGUUUAAAGGGUGCGUAGGUUGUUUUAUAAGUUAGCGGUGAAAUACCGAUGCUCAACAUCGGGGCUGCCGCUAAUACUGUAGGACUAGAGAUCGGAUGCAGCAGGCGGAAUGUGUAGUGUAGCGGUGAAAUGCAUAGAUAUUACACAGAACACCGAUUGCGAAGGCAGCUUGCUAGGCCGGAUCUGACACUGAUGCACGAAAGCGUGGGGAGCAAACAGGAUUAGAUACCCUUGUAGUC